AGGAUAUCAAAUAUAACCAAAUCAGGCAGUUCCUCUAUGAUUAAAAAGGAUUUAUUGUGGAAUACGCCGAGAAAUGUAAAUGCUUAGCCGAAGCAGCAAUCAAUGGUUGAAGAAAUCCUAUUAAAUUUUACUCUCAACGACUAAAAAGCUAGAGUUAUUUACGACCAAAGAACGCAACGACCCACCCACAUAACAACAACAUCUUAUAACAAAAAAUUCCAAAUAAAUUACAAGAAAAAAAAAAA